rnacentral:lncRNA from 1 species
AAUUUAAAGUCUCAAAUAUUGAAUGGACCACUUGUUGGUGCAUAUAUUUGUUUUAUGAUAAAAAUCUAAUUAAAGUGAGUGAAUUACAUAUAAAAAAUUUGAAAAAUUCAAUAACCAACAGCACAGUUAGCACAGUGAGUUAGAUAUUUGUGCUAUUGUAACGGCUCCGUAAAUUAAAAAGAAAUGUAUAUAUAUUUAUUCUAAGUGCGAAAGCGAAAUAAAAUGUAUUAUGAUUAAUAUCCCUUACACAAUAACCAAAACGAAUUAAAGUAUGAAAAAAUAUGUAACGGCCCCGGAAAAUAUUAAAAUGAAAUGAGUAUUUAAAUAUAUCGAAUGCGGAAGCGAGAUCAAAAUUUCAGUUAACAUCCCUUACACGAAAAACCAAACAAACGUACUUAAAAUAUA